GGGGUUGUGGCUCAGCUGGAAGCGCGUAUGCUUUGCAUCUAUUAUCUGCAAGUCUGCAUAAGGUCCUGGGUUCAAGCCCCAGCAGCUCCA
rnacentral:tRNA from 1 species